AGUGAACGCUGGCGGUAGGCCUAACACAUGCAAGUCGAACGGCAGCACAGUAAGAGCUUGCUCUUACGGGUGGCGAGUGGCGGACGGGUGAGGAAUACAUCGGAAUCUACUUUUUCGUGGGGGAUAACGUAGGGAAACUUACGCUAAUACCGCAUACGACCUACGGGUGAAAGCAGGGGAUCUUCGGACCUUGCGCGAUUGAAUGAGCCGAUGUCGGAUUAGCUAGUUGGCGGGGUAAAGGCCCACCAAGGCGACGAUCCGUAGCUGGUCUGAGAGGAUGAACAGCCACACUGGAACUGAGACACGGUCCAGACUCCUACGGGAGGGAGCAGUGGGGAAUAUUGGACAAUGGGCGCAAGCCUGAUCCAGCCAUACCGCGUGGGUGAAGAAGGCCUUCGGGUUGUAAAGCCCUUUUGUUGGGAAAGAAAAGCAGCAGGUUAAUACCCCGCUGUUCUGACGGUACCCAAAGAAUAAGCACCGGCUAACUUCGUG
rnacentral:rRNA from 1 species